UUCUACCAAAAUCAUAUUCAUGAAUACUUUAGAUUGAAAAGUUUUGACAAACGAGCAAUAAAUGACAUAAAAUUAAUACAAGGUAUAUGAAAUGUCAUGAAAAUGAAUACUAAAAAUGAUAAUGCGAACAUCUAUUAUUCAAUCGCAUGUUACUUCUUGCUGAAGGCCAUCUUUAUUGUUUAUUUGUUGCACUGUGUGUGUCUUCAAGGCCAUCUUGUAAAUUCAUUACGAAUUAUUAAUCUUGCUCAGCCGGUGGUUGACCGGUUAUAAGUGACAUUUUCUGACUAACAUUAGGUGGGAAUAUUUAUUUAUGGACAAGCUGGCCAUACCUGUUUUCUGCACACGGCGCUAAGUACUUUUCCGGUUAUCAUGGCGGGACAAUUUGUAUUCGUUAAUGUCUUUGCACACGGUAUUUUGGAUUUACACACGUGGUGUCUGGUUGGAUUUUAUAUUAAGAGUGUUUUCGGGCUUGGUUUACAAUUCUUACCGAAACUCCAAAAAGAGAAAGACACUAAUAUCUAACAGUGCAGUUUUAAUCAGUCACCACUUGAAAAUGUCUUCAGCUGAAAAAACAUGUCGUCUAACAACAGAAAACAAAUGUGGAUGUGGAGACAACUGUCAGUGUGGAGAUAGCUGUGCUUGCCUUAAGAUGAAAGGAUCCUGUAGUUGUUCAGCAGGAGGAGAAUGUUCAUGUGGAGAUUCCUGCGCAUGUACCACUGCAUGUGGAUGUGGAAAAUGUGGGAAAUCAAAAACCUCUUAGCAGUGAAGGGAAAUCUUUUUAG